GCUGCGUGAAGCCGGAUCAGGACCAAACUGAGAGCGGUUCUGUAGAGUCUGCAUGAGUCCUGAUCUCUAAGUGAUUAAUAACUAAUCAAACGUUCCUCACAGUAACGUCUGAUGAACACGAUCCCUUAUGGAGGGAACCAGCAUGCUGAGUCCUCACGUGAUCUGGUCUCCACUAAAGGCUCAAACCUGCAGAGCUGCUGCUGUUCUCACACGUUCUCACCACAACGCUUCCUCUUCACUUCUGAGGAAACAACCACCAGAUGCAAAGAGGAAGAAACUCAUCCUCAGAGCUCCGACACGUCGUCUCUAUGAGCACGACGAGGAAGUGACGCUGUGCAACCAGAGGAAGCAGAAGCUGCAUCUGUGAGGAAGAAGCACUCGGUCAGACGCCUUGAGGAGCAGAGACACCAUGGUGGAACUCAGAGGGACUCAAAGGACUUUAUGUGUGAUGCUGCUGCUGCUUCAGGCUGCAGUAAGAGGACAAACCCCCCCUGUCCCCCGCUUCCUCGUCAGAGCCGGAGAUGACGUCACUUUGCCUUCUAAUCAGGACAGAUGUAACGGAUCUACUUGGCUUCACAGUCGUAGUGAUCCAGCUGUGGAGCUGGUUACACUUGGGAAGAUUAAGAAUAACGCUUUGAUUCCAGAAGCUAAAACCAACAGACUGAGUUUGACAGCAAACUGUUCUCUGGUUAUAAGAAACGUCUCAGGUGAAGGUGUUGGUCGUUACACCAACAGACAUUAUGAUGAAGGAGGAAAACAUCAAGGUCCAGAUGGUGUGGUCUCUCUGUACGUGUUUACAAUGGAGGAAAAGGACUACGGGGGUCUGGUUGUGUUGUCCUGCUUUGUGUUGAGAUUCUCUGAGUGUGAACACACAGUAAAGUGGCAUUAUGACGGCAAACAGACUGAUGUGACGACAUCACACGUUGCUUGUGAAGCCAAUGUGACGUUUAAAGCUCCUCUUCAUCAGAAGUCAAAGUAUUAUAAGUCACUGAGAUGUGAAGUGAGAGACACUCGGAGUGGAAAAACUCUGCUGUUUGAAGCCUGCAGUCAGUUCUCAUGUGAACAAACAGUAAGAGGACAAACCCCCCCUGACCCCCGCUUCCUCGUCAGAGCCGGAGAUGACGUCACUUUGCCUUCUAACCAUGUGGAUCAGGACAGAUGUGACGGUUCUACUUGGCUUUACAAUCGUACUGAUUCAUCUGUGGAGCUGGUUACACUUGGGAAGAUUAAUAAUAACGCUUUGAUUCCAGAAGCUAAAAGCAACAAACUGAGUUUGACAGCAAACUGUUCUCUGGUUAUAAGAAGCGUCUCAGGUGAAGAUGUUGGUCGUUACACCAACAGAGAUUUUAAUGAAGCAGGAAAACAACAAGGUCCAGAUGGUGUGGUCUCUCUGUCCAUGUUUACAAUGGAGGAAAAGGACUACGGGGGUCUGGUUGUGUUUUCCUGCUUUGUGUUGAGAUUCUCUGAGUGUGAACACACAGUAGAGUGGCUUUAUGACGGCAAACAGACUGAUGUGAUGAUGUCACACGCUGCUUGUGAAGCCACUGUGACGUUUAAAGCUCCUCUUCAUCAGAAGUCAAAGUAUUAUAAGUCACUGAGAUGUGAAGUGAGAGACAAUCAGAGCGGAAAAACUCUGCUGUUUGAAGCCUGCAGUCAGUUCUCAUCUGAACAAACAGGAGGCCCAUCGGGGGAGGGAAACAUUACACCACCUGCACCACCAGGAGGCCCAUCGGGGGAGGACAACAUUACACCACCUGCACAGAGCGACUCUUCAUCAGUCUGGUGGCCGUGGCUCGUCAUCCCGCUGGUGGGUUUAUUGGUCCUCUUCAUCAUCCUCGUGGUCUUCAUCAGAUGGAGAAAUCAAGGGAAAAGAACACAGACGGACGAAAACAUCGCCGACCCCGAGGAAGGCGUAGCCUACGCCUCCGUCAGCUACACCAGGACGGCCGGCGGAGGAGCCCGGGUGAGCUCUCUGAUUGGCUGCACCGAUGAGGAAGUGUUUGAGCUAAUUGCAUCACCAUGCUAACCACAACCACGAUGCUAACGUGCUCACAAUGCUACAUGCUGGUGCAAAGCAAAUGUAGUUCUGCACACAAAUACAAACACACACACACACACACACACACACACACACACACACAUCAUUCUCGCGGUGGAGAGUUUAGGCAUUGGGCACAAAUUAGAGCUGAGGCUGAUGGGAAGUAUUUAAAUCUAUUUAUCUUUGCUUUACUUUGUGUUCUUUGCUUCGUGGUCUUUGUGUGUGUUUGUUGACGUGUUGAAUCAAGUCGUCAUCAUGUGAUCGUUUCCAGGCUCGAGUCAAAGAUGGCGACGAUGCGGUGACUUACUGCACUGUGAAAGCUCCGCCUCCUGCUUCUUCUUCUGGUGCCGGAGCCUCCGUUGAUCCCAGUGACCUCUACGCGGUCGUCAACAAACCCAACAAAUAAGAGGCUACGUUGAUGAUUGUAAACCAAGUCAAGCUUUCUUCAUCACGUUCACUCACUGCUGAGAUGAAUUGAGCCAUUUAGUAAAAUGUUUAGAGCAUUUUACAUUCAUUGAUGAUUUUAUUUGAAUAACCUGAAUGUUCCCACCAGAUAAAUCAGAUUAUUAUUGGAAAAAGGAGUAAAACAAGACUGAAAAUGUAAAUAUGAUAAUAUUAACACAUAGUUUUGCAUUUAAAGUGCGCAUUUUUGAUUACAUUUUACAUUUUUUACAUUAUGAUCAUUUUGUUAUGAUAGUAUGAUUUAUUCCUUUUGCAAUUGUUGGAUAAAAAAAAGCCUUUCUAUCCAGAACAGGGUGUAGUAAGUUAACGUGUUUUAUAUUUAUUGAUAAUUUUAUUUGAAUAACCUGUUCCCACCAGAUCAAUCAAUGGAGGCAUACUGAGAAUGUAAAUAUGAUAAUAAUGAAACAUAGUUUUGCAUUUAAAGUGAGCAUUUGACCACGUUUUUUUACAUUAUGAUAAUUUUGUUGUGAUAAUUUGUUGUUUGUUGGAUUUGUUGCUUUUGCGAUUGUUCUUCAUGUCCUCAUGAAAUAAACUAGUAACAUAUAGUUUAUCAGGGUUCAUAGUCCAGAUUAAUUGUUUUUUAUUAUAUAUUCCUG
ensembl:lncRNA